CUUGAACAAAUAUAAGAGGUCCAGCCUGCCCAGUGACAUAGUUUAACGGCCGCGGUACCCUAACCGUGCGAAGGUAGCAUAAUCACUUGUUCCUUAAAUAGGGACUAGUAUCAACGGCAUUACGAGGGCUGUACUGUCUCCUUUCUCCAAUCAGUGAAACUGAUCUCCCCGUGAAGAAGCGGGGAUUUUAAUAUAAGACGAGAAGACCCCAUGGAGCUUUAAGCAACGAAUUUACCACAUACCAACAACUCAACUAAUCCUAAAACCUAAAUUCUAGCUUUUGGUUGGGGGGACCGCGGAGUAUAACCCAACCUCCGCAACUAAUGGGCUCUGCCCUUAUCCACGAGCUACAACUCUAAGAAUCAUAAAAUUGAUGUCUUUGACCCGAAAACCUCGAUCAAUGAACCA
rnacentral:rRNA from 1 species